rnacentral:ncRNA from 20 species
CGACUAAGAUUACAGUUUGUAAUUGAUGGUGUUAGCUGGUGUUGGAUAGGGGUGUUACAUGACAAGAGACGAAGACAAUCAGCUUGAUGUCAACGUCUUGUAGUAAUUAGCAGGUACUAGUCGGUACCUGCUAAUUACUAUUAUUUAUUAAUAUAUUACAG